AGUGGGGAAUAUUGCACAAUGGGCGCAAGCCUGAUGCAGCGACGCCGCGUGGGGGAUGACGGCCUUCGGGUUGUAAACCUCUUUCAGUAUCGGCGAAGCUCCAGGAUUUUUCUUGGGGUGACGGUAGGUACAGAAGAAGCACCGGCCAACUACGUGCCAGCAGCCGCGGUAAUACGUAGGGUGCGAGCGUUGUCCGGAAUUACUGGGCGUAAAGAGCUCGUAGGUGGUUUGUCACGUUGUCCGUGAAAACUCACAGCUUAACUGUGGGCGUGCGGGCGAUACGGGCAGACUGGAGUACUGUAGGGGAGACUGGAAUUCCUGGUGUAGCGGUGGAAUGCGCAGAUAUCAGGAGGAACACCGGUGGCGAAGGCGGGUCUCUGGGCAGUAACUGACGCUGAGGAGCGAAAGCGUGGGGAGCGAA
rnacentral:rRNA from 1 species